GGAUGGUGCAAACACAGUUUCUCAUUGGUAGAGCUUUCCAUCACUCACACCCUGGCAGUGCCAGUCUGGCCUGUGAUUGGCUGAGCCACCAGGAGUCCCGCCUGAGGGGCAGGCCCAUGGAGGUUUAAAAGGGGCUGACGGGGAGACAGAGGGUUCUUUGGACUCUGCUUUCUCUGGAAUUCUGUGUGGGGACCCAGGAGUUGGUGACUAUUAGUCCUGCUCUAUGCAAUUUCUUCUGGUUCCCAAGAGACUUUUCACCAUUAUUGUGUCCUUGGAAGUUGUCCUGGCAUGCAGAAUGGAUGUCUUGGACUUUUUAGCAUUGUCAGCUACAGGAACUGUUUCUUGUCUCUCAGAAGGGUGGAGAAAGGAGUGGGAAAGAUGAGCAGUGGCAUAGCUACAUGGAGACUUACCCAAUCCCCAACAGCAAACACAGCAUGCUUAGGUAUGACAUGGCUUUGGAGUUCUGGGACAGUUGGUGUUGGAGUCAUCUGGCCACAACUGCCAGUCGUGCAAGUGACUUUUGCAGUACUACACUUCUUUCAUUCUACUGCUACCCAGGCAAGACUUUGAUGAGUCCUAGGAUAUGCAGCUGACUUCUAGGGACUGAAACUGGAGCUUAGAUCAUUACUGUCAAUAUUCCAUGUGGAAGAAUGUGUUAAUGUGUUUUUUCAGACCAACUGUAGGCAAGAGGUUUUAUAAGCACUGUUAGAACAAUGGGCCAAGGGAAGAAUUCCCACCAUAGAAAAGAACAAGCAAGUGUACCGUAAAAGACUGUUAAAGAACCAGAUUGUUUAAAAAACUGUUUCAACCAACUUGCUUUUGUUUGCAAUCCUGAUUGGUUUUGAGAUGCAGAUGUGCUCUGAUACUAAAUGAAGAACUUUUCAAAGAAGGAGGUUCAAUUUUUUAUCCUAGACAGAAGGAGAGCAUCUGAGCAAUAGGAAAGAUCAGCCUCCCAGGCAUGACAGUUGUGUCUGCUCCCACUUUCAAGUUAUGCUCCCUCCUCUUUUUCUGGUGACGUGUCAGAUGGAUUCAUGACAAGUACUAGGCCUCCAAUAAUAAGGAGAGAGUUACCAGUUCUGCAGUCUGGAACUGAUGUGAAUUAUAGGGUACUCCCUGAGACCCUGAGACAUGUGAGAAGGUUAUGCAAGCACACAGAUGAAGGAACAUCCUGGAUUUUACUUAGAUGGAAGAUGUUUACAUCCUUUCAGACUGUGAACCUACAUAACUCAGAGUACUGGAGAAGACUCAGUUGUAGAGGUACCUGGAAGAAUAUGCACAAUCCCUCAUCUUCUCUGUGGAUUACCUGUAUUGCUGGUUUUUUUGCAGUUUCAGAGCUUUUGGGAAUUGCUUUAAUUCUCAGGAAAAAGAGUAAGGAAAUGGUGAAUGAUAUGACAAGAUACAAAGAAUUCCAAUUAGUGGCACAAACUACUGAGUGAUUUGGUCACUGAACUGUGUAGGUUAUAAAAGAAGUAAUUUGAUUUGUGUAGUGCUUUAAGGGUUCUCCCCAUCCUCUUAAUUUUUUUUCCACAGGAAAUUGCUCUUUCAGAAUGUCCAUUUCCAGAGGCAGGAGUGGUAUGUUAGUCUCUUUCUAAGAAUAAUUUUUAGAGAGGGGAAGAAGUCCCUUAAAAGGACAGGAGAAAAUACUGGUGUGGCAGGGUAGUAUCUUAGAUUAAUUAUGAGUUAAUGGUGUUCAGGACUCACCUGUUGGCUGUUUCAAUUUGCUACAACACCUGACAAGACUCAGGCUUCCUAAACCCUUUGUUAACUCAAAGAAGCAGACAAUCCCUGCUAAAGUCAGUCUGGUAACAGUAUUGUCAGUUUCUCUCAGGUGUGAGGCCCAUUCAGGUGUUUCAAAGUACUUUGGGUAAACUGACAUUCUCCUUUCCACAGCAGAUUGAAAAAUUCCUAAGAAUAGAAGCUCCUUGCUGGUGGCAAGGAGGUAUUACACAAGGGGAAUUAAUGUGAAUGUAGGGCACAGGCACUCAUUGAUUAGACAAAUCUUCACAAAUGAAGGAGAUAUAAAGGCAAAAAAAGUGUUUCAAUCUUUGGCCAAGUUUCUUUAUUAUUCUUUACUUGUACAUUUGAGCCAGUAUCUGGGUGCAUCACUGAAAAACAGGAAAUGAACUCUUCAAACAAUUUACUAGGUUUGAAAGUCGCCAUUACUUUAUUACCAGUGCUGGAUGUAUGGGGAAUUCUCCUCAAAGCAUGCAUGCCCACUAACCUAACAGGCCAGGUUAUAUUCCUCAAAGCAAUACAUAUUCAUCACAUUUCCUGAACAUAUGCAUAUAUGCUAACUGUUUUGGUGGACUUACUGGAUAUGGUUCAGGAUCUUUUAAUGAAUCUUACCUCCUUGAGAGUAUGUCAAAUAUGUGGUCAGGGCAUAAUGUACUUCUAUUACUAUUCUUUGUUCUGAUGUACAAUCCUUGUUCUCGAAACUAAGAUACCUGCUGAUACAUAUUAAUCAGUAAUAUAAAUAGAUAAGAAGGCUGGCAAAAGACUUAUUAGUCUUAAUAGUCAGAGAAGCAGGGAGUUAACACAAGGCCACAUUAAUCUCUGGUAUUUGUACAAAUCACUCUGUGGUACAAAAGUAAGCAUUAACCAUGAAUGCAGGGAUCAUACACUAUUGUGCUAAAGUUAAAAGAAUUUUCCAGCAUCUUCACCCAGUGCUGUGUAGACUUCUUAAAGAACUAUAACUUGAUUGGUGACAGGUGUAGAUCUGACAAGUGGAAUUUCUUCAUUUCCAGCAUCUGUUUUUCACUUUGUGUCUUGAAACACACCUGAGACUAUUGCCUUACUCAUCAGAUCUAACUGAAACUGAAGAAGCUUUAUUUCCAACAUAUUUAGUGGUUUGGUGCUGCAUCUUGGAAGAUUUUUUUUUAAGUAAGAAAAAAGGGGAUUUUUAACUUCAAUCAAGAUGCAAAUCACUAAAAAAAAUUCACACAUUUCAGCUUAUUGGGGAGUUCUGAACAAUCUGAUACCUGAACCAUAAUUCUUUGGCCUAGAAAAGAUAAAAUCUAUCAGUAUCAAUGAUCAAAUUUGAAGAAAGGUGGGGAGUCACAUUCACUGGUAAUGUGGUGUCUUUAAGCUGUCAUGCUUAAAAGCAGAUAAUGGUGUGGUGGGAAAGCAGUGUGGCUUGGAAUAAAUUUCCUCCAUUCCAGAAGUUAUACCACUUUGCCCAGCAGUCUCCCAGAAUUUUAUUCUUUCUUUCUUUCUUUCUUCCUUCCCCCCACCCCCACCAUCUAACAUACCAUGUAUAUGUAAUAACUCUCAUUGCUAUUAAUUGUUCAUGCUUUUGUAACUUUCUGGCUGGCAAGUGCUUCAUCACCUCAGCAGCACUGUGAAUCAGCAGGAUACCAGCCAUUAGUGCAUAGUAUAAAGGAGUAGCUGCUGUUAUAGUGAAAUCUCACAGAAACCUAAUCAAAUGAUGGCUGCUCUGCUGUAAGUCGAAGUCUCUGAUCAGUGAUAUCCAGUGCUUUUAUUAGAAAUUUAUGUUUUCAUUUCAGUUCCAUUGAGACAUUUAGAAACAUACUAGAUUGUACCAGGGACAGAAGGAUUUGAGUUCUGUGUCUUUUCAGGGGUUGUAAUAAAUACGUUUUUACAAGUGCUG